GCCUGAGUGGCUUAGUCAGUUAAGUAUCUGACUCCGGCUCAGGUCAUGAUCUCAGGGUCUGUGGGUUCAAGCCCCACGUCGGGCU
rnacentral:tRNA from 1 species